rnacentral:lncRNA from 1 species
AUGUCACCGACUUCCUUACUUUAUAAACCGCCCCCAGGAUUUUCCUCUUUUUCCCUGAGAAGCAGAUGAUCAGUCAUCCCUUUUAUGAACCUGCGAGAAAUGCUCGAUGAUCAUAAUUGGGUUUAAAACCUCUCGUAUCAUUGCAGCAUCAGCGUACCCAAAACCCCCAAUACAAAAAAACUAAUCUCUGAAUAUUUCGCAAAAUCCAUUCGUCUUCUUCAGCCUCUCUUCCUUUCUUCUUGCCAUUCAUCCACCCGAUAGCUGAUGGAACUCUAACCGAUCUCGCAAAUCCCGAUUCUAAAAGGGUCAUUUUCUUCCCUCUUUUCCUAUUUCAUGCUGUUGUUGCGCGAGGAAGAUUCUCGCUACUCGCUCCAUCAGUUCCCCAUGGCCGUGAGUGGGCACCAUGCCAUUCAGUUGUUGCCACACCUUUGCUUAUUGCAUUUGAACUUGUUCUUUGUAUCUUUCUAGAGAAUAGCUAUUAUACAUUGUUUCUAAGCCUCCACCUGUAAGCUUGCAAAUUGUCUUCCUUCCUCUGUUGGCAUUUGAAGUAGCCAUUCUUGUUGACAACUUCAUGUGAUUAUUUUUGAGUUUUAUGAAUGUAAUUGUCUUUGAAGAAUUUGUAAAAAAAAUACAAGUUGCAGAUUCUGGACGAGAAUGCAUGUAAUACUUGUAGAUAAAUUCCUAAUUACCAUAUUUGACUUUUGUUUUAUAGCUG